rnacentral:lncRNA from 1 species
GCUCCACUCCCUGCCCACCUCCCUCUCUCCAUCUUUUCACAGGCACAGAGGAGAGACUGUGUGAGGACUCAUGGAGGAGACUGCCAUCUGCAAACCAGGAAGAAAGGCCUCAUCCUGCUGGCACCUGGAUCUCAGACUUCCAGCCUCCAGAAUGGAGCAGAAGAGAGAGCGCAAGAAAGCAGAAGCAGGGGGAGCAGGAGAGGGAGAAGCAGACUCCCUGCUGAGCAGGAAGCCUGAUGCCCCUGCCUCAAUCCCAGAACUCCAGGAUCAGGACCAAAGCUGAAGGCAGGUGCUUAACCAACUGAGCCACCCAGAAGUUCCUGUACCCAGAACUAUCUGGACCCUCCCCUCAUGUAGUGAUUGUGUGGGUCAGGUCAGUGCUUCUCAAACGUUGAUGGCUAUCAGAAAUGCCCAGGGGAGUGCCUCGCUGCCUCAGCUGGAAGAGCAUGCAAUUCAUGGUCUCGGGUUGUGAGUUGGACCCCACAUUGGGAGUAGAGAUUACUAUGAAAAAUAAAUAAAAUUUAAAAAAAAAGAAAGAAAGAAAGAAAGAAAGAAGAAAAGAAAAGAAAAGAAUGCCCAGGGUAAGGUUUGGCCCUUACCCUGGUUAUGGUGAGCUAUGUGAGGCCUCAGAUUCUGCAUUUUAAUAAGUGAUAUCCCCACCAGAUGAUUGUUGAAGGUGGUCCCAGACCGCGCUUUGAGAAACGCCACUCUGCUCUCAGCCUGCGGGUUCAGAGAGAUAUGGCAGGGAGCUGGUGACCCACAAAACAUACAUAAAAGUUCUACAAAGAUAUGCAAAAAACACUGUCAGCCUCUGAGGAGGCUUGAGGGUCUGCUAUGAGAGGGAGGUUUAUUUUUAAAUUUUUGUUUUAUUUUAUAUUUUUAAUUUUAUUUAUUUAAAGAUUUUAUUUCUUUAUGUGUGAGAGAGAGCACGAACAGUGGGGGGGGGGGAGGCAGGGAGAAAAGCAGAUUCCCCACUGAGCAGGAGUCCCACCUGGGGGCUCUAUCCCAGAAUCCACACCCCCCCUCCAUCAUGACCUGAGCCCAAGGCAGAUGCUUAACUGACUGAGCCAGCCAGGCACCCCUGUUUCGUGUUUUUUACCCUUAAGAAUGUACUAUUUUUCAAUUUAAAAACUAAUUGGAGGGGCACCUGGGUGGCUCAGUCACUUAAGCGCCUGCUUUCGGUUCAGGUCAUGAUCCCAGCGUCCUGGGAUCCAGCCCCACGAUCCCAGCCCCACGUCAGGCUCCCUGCUCAGUGGGGGGCCUGCUUCUCCCUCUGCCUACAGCUCUGCCUGCUUAUGCUCUCU